GACGAACGCUGGCGGCGUGCUUAACACAUGCAAGUCGAACGAAGUGGCGAACGGGUGAGUAACGCGUAAUCAACCUGCCCUUCAGAGGGGGACAACAGUUGGAAACGACUGCUAAUACCGCAUACUGAAGGAGGGGAUUGAGUCGGAUUAGCCAGUUGGAGGGGUAACGGGCCACCAAGGCGAGUAUCAGUAGCCGGUUUGGGAGGAUGAACGGCCACAUUGGGACUGAGACACGGCCCAGAGUCCUACGGGAGGCAGCAGUGGGGAAUCUUCCGCAAUGGACGAAAGUCUGACGGAGCAACGCCGCGUGAGUGAUGACGGCCUUCGGGUUGUAAAGCUCUGUUAAUCGGGACGCGGUACCGGAAUAGAAAGCCACGGCUAACUACGUGCCAGCAGCCGCGGUAAUUC
rnacentral:rRNA from 1 species